rnacentral:rRNA from 1 species
AUCGAACGCUGGCGGCAGGCCUAACACAUGCAAGUCGAGCGGGCGGCGGACGGGUGAGGAAUGUAUGGGGACUGCCCGUUAGAGGGGGAUAACUACUGGAAACGGUAGCUAAUACCGCAUACUAUCGGAUAACCCAGAUGGGAUUAGCUAGUAGGUGCGGUAAUGGCGCACCUAGGCGACGAUCCCUAGCUGGUCUGAGAGGAUGAUCAGCCACACUGGGACUGAGACACGGCCCAGACUCCUACGGAGGCAGCAGUGGGGAAUAUUGGACAAUGGGCGCAAGCCUGAUGGAGCAAUGCCGCGUGUAUGAAGAAGGUCCUAGGGUUGUAAAGCACUUUCAUUCGGGAGGCGUUACCGACAGAAGAAGCACCGGCUAACUCCGUGCCAGCAGCCGCGGUAAUUC